GACGCAACCCUUGCCUUUAGUUGCCAGCAGUUCGGCUGGGCACUCUAAAGGGACUGCCGGUGUUAAACCGGAGGAAGGUGGGGAUGACGUCAAGUCCUCAUGGCCUUUAUGACCAGGGCUACACACGUACUACAAUGGCCGAUACAAAGGGCAGCGACACUGCGAGGUGAAGCCAAUCCCGUAAAAUCGGUCUCAGUCCGGAUUGGAGUCUGCAACUCGACUCCAUGAAGUUGGAAUCGCUAGUAAUCGUGGAUCAGCAUGCCACGGUGAAUACGUUCCCGGGCCUU
rnacentral:rRNA from 1 species